AGUGAACGCUGGCGGUAGGCCUAACACAUGCAAGUCGAACGGCAGCACAGUAAGAGCUUGCUCUUACGGGUGGCGAGUGGCGGACGGGUGAGGAAUACAUCGGAAUCUACUUUUUCGUGGGGGAUAACGUAGGGAAACUUACGCUAAUACCGCAUACGACCUACGGGUGAAAGCAGGGGAUCUUCGGACCUUGCGCGAUUGAAUGAGCCGAUGUCGGAUUAGCUAGUUGGCGGGGUAAAGGCCCACCAAGGCGACGAUCCGUAGCUGGUCUGAGAGGAUGAUCCGCCACACUGGAACUGAGACACGGUCCAGACUCCUACGGGAGGCAGCAGUGGGGAAUAUUGGACAAUGGGCGCAAGCCUGAUCCAGCCAUACCGCGUAGGUGAAGAAGGCCUUCGGGUUGUAAAGCCCUUUUGUUGGGAAAGAAAAGCAGCAGGUUAAUACCCCGCUGUUCUGACGGUACCCAAAGAAUAAGCACCGGCUAACUUCGUG
rnacentral:rRNA from 1 species